rnacentral:lncRNA from 1 species
CUACAUGCUGGACCAAUUCACCCCAGGCCCUCCAGGCCCUAGAUUCUCAUUCUUACCCUGACCCGAAGAGGACAGAAAAAUCAAACACAGGGGCUCCCACGUCUUCAGGAAAGACUUAGCUUAGCAGUCAGCGGAAGCACCUCACUACUAACCUCGCUCCUUUCUCCUCUCCUACGGGGGGCUGGAGUUCCCGGCUUCCCACCGGCCAGACGCGAUUCUGGCUGGGACAGCAACACCAAAAACGCCAGGGCUAGGGCGCCCAAUUCCUCGUCCGCAGUUUGCGCAUGUGCGAAGAGGGGCUUCUGGAGGAACCGGGGGCUUAGUUGCUAAGAAACACAGCUGGAGAGUGAAGUUCCGCUUAACGCCGGGCUGCGAAAGGCGGGGACGUCACACUAUUGGCAGGGAGUAGAGAGAACGGGCUGGUUUAAAGGCCCUUUUUUCUGUCCAUUGGAUGAACUGGAUGUCACCAUUCAGGCUGGGUGGGCGGGGCUGAGAGAGGUCGGUGAGAGCGGCCUUAGCAACCGUCAGUGAGCUGUGAAGACUUGGGUUGGGCGGGGCUGCGAGAGGUGACGCCGGGAGGUCCUGGCUGAGAGCGCCGGCUGCCAGCUGGAGACAUGAUUGCAGUGUGGGCCUUAGGAUUUGAACCAAAGAAAGAAGAAAUUUAAAAAAUGGAGCAUUGAAAGAUACAACCUCCCGUUUUGAAGCUUACGUUUUUGGUAACGGAUCUGAAUUAUGAGGUUUAAUAAGAGAUGCAUUCUGGACCACCCUGUGCCUCCUCCACCUCAGCAAGCUCUACAUUUAAGCACCUUGAGGGCAGAUGAAAUGCUUGAUGAAGCUGAUCAUGAUGGAGAUGGAGAAAUAAAUGAGGAAGAUUUUUUGAGAGUGAUGAAAAAGACUACUUGUUAUUAA